AAACUGUUUUCGAAGUGCCUCCCACUGAGUGACUGGGAGAAAAUUCUCCAAAAAUAACUCUGCAAACUGAUCCCAUGUCAAAGAUGGAGACCUUGCUGGUCUAGAUAGACAAUAAUCUCUACACCAAGUCUUGAUGGACCCCACAAGUCUGAAAGUGCAAAAAUCGACACCAUUGGUCUCUACUAUCCCCAUAAUCCUGAGGAUCUCAUGACAACUGUAUAGAAAGUC
rnacentral:lncRNA from 1 species